CUGACACAGUGUGGCCAUACCACGUGGUUUGUGACGUCAUUUUGGCUAGCACGCUAAGUAGAAAUUUGUCAACAUUGGCCCCGCUUAGAAAUUUCAAAUCCACGCACUUCUUCUAUACAACCUCGAAAAAGAAUGUGUACAAACUCGUUGGUCAAUAUAACGUCGAUGGCAAAGUGACCACGAGUUUGACAACCCGGGGAGACUGCGCGUGAAACCGAAGGCAAAAGAGGCCAAAAUGGACUCGAGUCGAAAUGCCGUUGCCAGGGAAACUUUAGGUGUACGGUGGGACUGUGCGAGGAGAAACGAAAGCAAGUUAUUGCCUACGUACAGAAUUGGACUAGACAUAGAAGAAAUUUGAUAAGAAAUCGCCUUUCUGAAGAAUUCCGUGUUUUAGUAGCUUGACUUGAGCGAGAUAUAAAUAAUUAUUCAUGUGCAUAGUGUUAUUUUUUUCCCGUAUUUAAGUUAAUUGUGUCGUGUUCUGAGAAAACUAGGCAUAAUGCUUGUGCGCAAAUUUGUCAUCCCAGAUUAGCCUGUGCAGUGCGCACAGACUAAUCAGGGGCGACAUUUUCUGCUUUUAUGGAAUUUUUCGUUUAAAUAAUGUCUCUUCUUAGCGAAAAUCUGGUUUAGGCGGAAAGUGUCGUCCCUGAUCAGCCUGUGCUGACUGCACAGGCAAAUCUGGGACGACACUUUACGCGGAAAAUGUCGUCCCUUUUAAGCCUGUGAUGACUUCAUAGGCAAAUCUGGGACGACACUUUACGCAAAUGCAUUAUGCCCAGUUUUCUCAGUACACGACAAAAUUGUGCUGAAUAUUUAUCUCACUCAAAUAAAUGCUAAUGGUAUGUGUUUA